GACUGUGCCCUUCGGGGGAAAGAUUUGUCGCCUUUAGUGCCUCCCGCGUCUGAUUACCUAGUCGGUGUAGGCCGGCUCACCAAGGCUAGUAUGUGGGGUGGUCUGAGAGGAUGACCAACCACACUGGGACUGAGACACGGCCCAAACUCCUACGGGAGGCAGCAGUGGGGAAUCUUGCGCACCGGGCGAACCCCUGACGCAGCCAUGCCACGUGAAUGAAGAAGGUCUUAGGAUU
rnacentral:rRNA from 1 species